GAGGGAUAUUGCGCAAUGGGGGAAACCCUGACGCAGCGACGCCGCGUGGGUGAAGACGGUCUUCGGAUUGUAAAACCCUUUUCUGUGUGACGAGUAAGGACGGUAGCACAGGAAUAAGUCUCGGCUAACUACGUGCCAGCAGCCGCGGUAAAACGUAGGAGGCAAGCGUUAUCCGGAGUUACUGGGCGUAAAGCGCGCGCAGGCGGCGUGUUAAGUGUGGGGUCAAAGGUCCAGGCUCAACCUGGGAAAGGCAACACAGACUGACGCGCUGGAGGCAGCUAGAGGGACGCGGAAUUCGGGGUGUAGCGGUGAAAUGUGUAGAGAUCCCGAGGAACACCAGCGGUGAAGACGGCGUCCUGGGGCUGACCUGACGCUGAGGCGCGAAGGCGUGGGGAGCGAACGGGAUUAGAGACCCCGGUAGUCCACGCGGUAAACGAUGCCGACUGGACGUGCACCACUUCGGUGGGGCGUGUCGAAGCUAACGCGGGAAGUCGGCCGCCUGGGAAGUACGGUCGCAAGGCUA
rnacentral:rRNA from 1 species